UACGUAGGGUGCGAGCGUUAAUCGGAAUUACUGGGCGUAAAGCGUGCGCAGGCGGUUUUGCAAGCCGGAUGUGAAAUCCCCGGGCUCAACCUGGGAAUGGCAUUCGGGACUGCAAGGCUGGAGUGCGGCAGAGGAGACUGGAAUUCCUGGUGUAGCAGUGAAAUUCGUAGAUAUCAGGAGGAAUACCGAUGGCGAAGGCAGGUCUCUGGGCUGACACUGACGCUCAUGCACGAAAGCGUGGGGAGCAAACAGG
rnacentral:rRNA from 1 species